rnacentral:lncRNA from 1 species
AAAAUAAGCACAAUAUCAAAAGAGAGGGAGAGAACUAAAACUGCCAUGAAAUGGAUGAAAUCGCCAGAAUUGAGAAAAUUGGAAUUGUGAGCAAAUCUAAAUUUAGUGCAUGUUUCAAAGAAACUAAUAAGAAGAGAAACACAAAUAAAUAAGAAGAUUUAGAGGUUACAAACUCGAAUAAAAACAACCAUCAAAAUAAGAAAAUAAAAACAUAGUUCAAAAGAAAAAUAAAAAUAAAAUAAAGAAGUGUAACAAAUAAAAAUAAAAUAACCGG